ACAUGUUCAGAAACAACCUGUGACAUUUUCACAUGCACAAGCUAAAAGUGCCCGUAUCUAUUCCUCAGUGUAUCCACAAAUGUCCGUUUACUGCUGGUUCAUUUUCUGUUCUGUUGCCAUUUCACAGCAAUAGGUUGAAAGGUGCCCUAAAGGUGAUCUUCAUGGCUCCCAGUCAAGUGCAGAAAGCCAAUGUAAAGACAGAGGCCGACUGUUGGAAAAGGUCAUUGCUGCUUUCAUCAGCUGACACAGGAACCAAUGAACAGGAAAACCCUCACUAUUGUUAACAAGAUCUAUCUCGCAAAAAAAUGUUGUUGACCUCUCUCUCCCCUGUUCCAUGGUGGAGGUGCGGGCUGAAGAGGAAGGAAGGUGAGUGUCCUCUGCCCUGUUAUUUAUUCUCCCUGAACUUUUUGAAAAUGCAUGGCUGGUACUAGCCCAUCUCUCCCUGACUCACCCAGAGGAAGGGUGCCUUUUUCUAAGUGACACCAAGGUGCUGUAUGGACUGGCAGCCGUCCUGGGUGUGAGUUAUCGGUCCCAAAACUCUGUGUUAGGUGCUGUAGGGAGAUUUGUUGGAAGUGUUCCUGAAGUGUAAAGGGGAAAGCGACCGAGUGGUGCCUGGUCAGCCAAAAGAAAGUCAGAACUCCAAGCGAAGGGAACAGAACACUGGAACACGUGGGGCUCUGCAUCGUGCCAAAGGCUGUCCUCCACUGGUGCCAUUGGAUCUUGCCAUCAAAAUCCCAUCAGUGAGGAGAAGUAAGCCUGAGGAUCGGUACCCGUUCCAAUAGCACGACUCACAUGAAACAGACAAAACUGAAUCCAGAGCAGGGUGAUCCCCGAUGCCAAGGUUAAUAAAUUUGAACUGAGCUGCAUUUACAAUGCACACGUCAGCUUUUGAUUCAACAAGAGAUUCCUUGAUCCUGAGUGAAUCCAACACUGUAUUGUGACAUGGAGAAUACAUGGAGAAAUAAAAUUAUAAAAAGUGAAUCAUUCUGAAAGAUUAAA